GAUGAACGCUGGCGGCGUGCCUAAUACAUGCAAGUCGAGCGAACGGACGAGAAGCUUGCUUCUCUGAUGUUAGCGGCGGACGGGUGAGUAACACGUGGAUAACCUACCUAUAAGACUGGGAUAACUUCGGGAAACCGGAGCUAAUACCGGAUGAUAUUUUGAACCGCAUGGUUCAAAAGUGAAAGACGGUCUUGCUGUCACUUAUAGAUGGAUCCGCGCUGCAUUAGCUAGUUGGUAAGGUAACGGCUUACCAAGGCAACGAUGCAUAGCCGACCUGAGAGGUGGAUCGGCCACACUGGAACUGAGACACGGUCCAGACUCCUACGGGAGGCAGCAGUAGGGAAUCUUCCGCAAUGGGCGAAAGCCUGACGGAGCAACGCCGCGUGAGUGAUGAAGGUCUUCGGAUCGUAAAACUCUGUUAUUAGGGAAGAACAUAUGUGUAAGUAACUGUGCACAUCUUGACGGUACCUAAUCAGAAAGCCACGGCUAACUACGUG
rnacentral:rRNA from 1 species